CCUACGGGAGGCAGCAGUGGGGAAUAUUGGACAAUGGGUGAAAGCCUGAUCCAGCCAUGCCGCGUGUGUGAAGAAGGCCUUCGGGUUGUAAAGCACUUUCAGUGGGGAAGAAAGCCUUGGGGCUAAUACCCUCGAGGAAGGACAUCACCCACAGAAGAAGCACCGGCUAACUCCGUGCCAGCAGCCGCGGUAAUACGGAGGGUGCGAGCGUUAAUCGGAAUUACUGGGCGUAAAGCGCGCGUAGGCGGUCUGAUAAGCCGGUUGUGAAAGCCCCGGGCUCAACCUGGGAACGGCAUCCGGAACUGUCAGGCUAGAGUGCAGGAGAGGAAGGUAGAAUUCCCGGUGUAGCGGUGAAAUGCGUAGAGAUCGGGAGGAAUACCAGUGGCGAAGGCGGCCUUCUGGACUGACACUGACGCUGAGGUGCGAAAGCGUGGGUAGCAAACAGGAUUAGAUACCCGGGUAGUC
rnacentral:rRNA from 1 species